UCUAUUAUGGCAGAAUUUAGUGCAAUAAAUUUAAGAUUUAUAAAUGAAAUUUUAUUUUCUUUUAGAA
rnacentral:tRNA from 1 species